rnacentral:rRNA from 1 species
GACGAACGCUGGCGGCGUGCCUAAUACAUGCAAGUCGAACGCUGAAGCUUGGUGCUUGCACCGAGCGGAUGAGUUGCGAACGGGUGAGUAACGCGUAGGUAACCUGCCUGUUAGCGGGGGAUAACUAUUGGAAACGAUAGCUAAUACCGCAUAAGAGUAUAUAUUGCAUGAUAUUUGCUUAAAAGGUGCAAUUGCAUCACUACCAGAUGGACCUGCGUUGUAUUAGCUAGUUGGUGAGGUAACGGCUCACCAAGGCAACGAUACAUAGCCGACCUGAGAGGGGGAACGGCCACACUGGGAAUGAGACACGGCCCAAACUCCUACGGGAGGCAGCAGGAGGGAAUCUUCGGCAAGGGACGGAAGUCUGACCGAGCAACGCCGCGUGAGUGAAGAAGGGUUUCGGAUCGUAAAGCUCUGUUGUAAGAGAAGAACGAGGGUGAGAGUGGAAAGUUCACAAUGUGACGGUAACUAACCAGAAAGGGACGGCUAACUACGUG